CUGCUCCUAAUCAGAUUCAUAGAGGUUCUCCCUACUGCUGAGCUGCAGGCUAGAUCUGCAGCCUCUUUUGUACACUGAUCCUAGUGUGUUGACAUCACCAGGACCCCAGCUGCAUGGGACUCUGGACAUCAGAUUUAAUCAUGAGGGAUCAACCUUUGGCCUGUGAAGGGGUACUUGCUCUUCUUAGGUCAGCACUGAAUAUUUAGAGGAGAGGCCAGAUGGAAGAAGUUGUUCUAGCCUAGGGUUGCCCUUUCACUGAAGUUUAACAAUUACACUGGGCUGGGUUCUUGGAGAAGUCCUUGCAAUUCUUUGA